UACGUAGGUGGCGAGCGUUGUCCGGAUUUAUUGGGCGUAAAGCGCGCGCAGGCGGUCGCGUAAGUCUGCUGUGAAAUCUCCCUGGCUCAACCGGGAGGGGGCGGCGGAGACUGCGGGACUGGAGGGACCUAGAGGCCGGUGGAAUUCCCGGUGUAGUGGUGAAAUGCGUAGAGAUCCGGAAGAACACCGGUGGCGAAGGCGGCCUGCUGGGCAGUAGCCGAAAGGCUUUCAAGCUGACACUGAGGCGCGACAGCGUGGGGAGCAAACAGG
rnacentral:rRNA from 1 species